rnacentral:rRNA from 1 species
CCUACGGGAGGCAGCAGUGAGGAAUAUUGGUCAAUGGACGAGAGUCUGAACCAGCCAAGUCGCGUGAAGGAUGACUGCCUUAUGGGUUGUAAACUUCUUUUAUAUGGGAAUAAAAUGUUCCACGUGUGGGAUUUUGUAUGUACCAUAUGAAUAAGGAUCGGCUAACUCCGUGCCAGCAGCCGCGGUAAUACGGAGGAUCCGAGCGUUAACCGGAUUUAUUGGGUUUAAAGGGAGCGUAGGUGGAUUGUUAAGUCAGUUGUGAAAGUUUGCGGCUCAACCGUAAAAUUGCAGUUGAAACUGGCAGUCUUGAGUACAGUAGAGGUGGGCGGAAUUCGUGGUGUAGCGGUGAAAUGCGUAGAUAUCACGAAGAACUCCGAUUGCGAAGGCAGUUCACUGGACUGCAACUGACACUGAGGCUCGAAAGUGUGGGUAUCAAACAGGAUUAGAUACCCCAGUAGUC